UACGAAGGGGGCUAGCGUUGUUCGGAAUUACUGGGCGUAAAGCGCGCGCAGGCGGUCUUCCAAGUCAGUGGUGAAAGCCCGGAGCUCAACUCCGGAACUGCCAUUGAAACUGUUAGACUUGAGGAUGAGAGAGGUGAGUGGAAUUCCCAGUGUAGAGGUGAAAUUCGUAGAUAUUCGCAAGAACACCAGUGGCGAAGGCGGCUCACUGGCCCGAUACUGACGCUGAGGCACGAAAGCGUGGGGAGCAAACAGG
rnacentral:rRNA from 1 species